rnacentral:rRNA from 1 species
AACGAACGCUGGCGGCGUGGAUUAGGCAUGCAAGUCGUACGCGAAACGGUCCUUCGGGCCGGAGUAGAGUGGCGAACUGGUGAGUACAAGUGACUGACCUGCCUCGAAGUGGGGGAGUAACCGACGGGAACCGGUAGGCCAAUACCGCAUGGUCUCGCUUCUUUGUACAAGAGGUGAGUAAAGACAGUAAUGCGCUUCGGG